rnacentral:rRNA from 1 species
GAUGAACGCUGGCGGCGUGCCUAAUACAUGCAAGUCGAGCGAACAGACGAGGAGCUUGCUCCUCUGACGUUAGCGGCGGACGGGUGAGUAACACGUGGAUAACCUACCUAUAAGACUGGGAUAACUUCGGGAAACCGGAGCUAAUACCGGAUAAUAUAUUGAACCGCAUGGUUCAAUAGUGAAAGACGGUUUUGCUGUCACUUAUAGAUGGAUCCGCGCCGCAUUAGCUAGUUGGUAAGGUAACGGCUUACCAAGGCAACGAUGCGUAGCCGACCUGAGAGGGUGAUCGGCCACACUGGAACUGAGACACGGUCCAGACUCCUACGGGAGGCAGCAGUAGGGAAUCUUCCGCAAGGGGCGAAAGCCUGACGGAGCAACGCCGCGUGAGUGAUGAAGGUCUUCGGAUCGUAAAACUCUGUUAUUAGGGAAGAACAAAUGUGUAAGUAACUAUGCACGUCUUGACGGUGCCUAAUCAGAAAGCCACGGCUAACUACGUG